AACAAACGCUGGCGGCGUGCCUAACACAUGCAAGUCGUACGAGAAAGGGUCCUUCGGGGCCUGAGUAAAGUGGCGCACGGGCGAGUAACGCGUGGAUAAUCUGCCCUUCAGUUGGGAAUAACUCAUCGAAAGGUGGGCUAAUACCGAAUAAUGCUGUGAGACCUCGGUUGAUCAGCCAAAGAGAGCCUCUGCUUGCAAGCCCUCGCUGAAGGAUGAGUCCGCGUACCAUUAGCUAGUUGGUAGGGUAAUGGCCUACCAAGGCGACGAUGGUUAGCUGGUCUGAGAGGAUGAUCAGCCACACUGGAACUGAGACACGGUCCAGACUCCUACGGGAGGCAGCAGUGAGGAAUCUUGCGCAAUGGGGGCAACCCUGACGCAGCAACGCCGCGUGAGUGAGGAAGGUCUUCGGAUCGUAAAGCUCUGUCGGAUGGAAAGAACCGCAUAGGGGUAAACAGCCCCUGUGUCUGACGGUACCAUCAAAGGAAGCACCGGCUAACUCCGUGCCAGCAGCCGCCGUAAGAC
rnacentral:rRNA from 1 species